GCACUAGGUCCAGGGGCCUCCGUUGGUGGUGCUGGUGGGCUCAACAAUGCCGGACCAGGAGCUGGUGCUUGGUGCUUCUUUGGCUUCUUUUUACUAUGAGAAGGAGCAGGGACCUCUGCGGUCGGUGGAGCAACUGGAGUGCUUGCCGGUGGAGCACUAGUUGGGGAAGCAACAGGCUCAGGAGACGGAGGAGAUUUUGCUGGUGGAGAACUAACAGGAACUGGAGUCGGUGGGGAGCUAACUGGAGUCGCGGAUGGAGGUGGUGUGGCCAAUGGAGCCGCAACUGGAACUGAAACCGUCUGUUUCGGUGGAGAAGCUGCUGGUGUUGCCGCAGGUGGUGAUGAUACGGGAGCUGGUGUUGUAGGUUUUGUUGGUGCUGCUACUGGCACGGCAGGAGUUGUUGGAGUCGCGGGAGUUGAUGUCGGUGUCGCAGC
rnacentral:lncRNA from 1 species